UACGUAGGGCGCAAGCGUUAUCCGGAAUUAUUGGGCGUAAAGGGCGCGUAGGUGGUUCUGUAUGUCUACCGUGAAAGCGUACGGCUCAACCGUAUUUUGUCGGUGGAAACUGCAGGACUUGAGGCUGGGAGGGGCUGGUGGAAUUCCCUGUGUAGCGGUGAAAUGCGCAGAUAUCAGGAAGAACACCAAUGGCGAAGGCAACUCUCUGGGACGGUACUGACGCUGAGACGCGAAAGCGUGGGGAGCAAACAGG
rnacentral:rRNA from 1 species